AAAUAGUUUACCAUUUAUCUUCUAAUAUCAGGUAUUUCCACACGGGGGAAAAAUCUACCAAAUGAUCAUAUUAUAAUCAGUAAAUUCUCCUCUGGGUCCCUAAACUAAGAUAAAGGAAAACAAAAACAUUAGGAAUACAAACCUGUUUUCCCAAUUCUUUAGUGUCACUUUCCCUAGUUAUGGAAGUUUAAUCCCCUUUUCCUAAUAAUACUUAGUCAGUCAAAUAAAAGGUUUUCACUUACCUUUUUCCAGCAACAAGGUACCCUCAGCACUGCUCAUCACUCCUCCUCCCAUGACGUCAUGGAGGAGGCAUGUCCUCUGGCACGACAAUCCAAUCCAAUUCUUCUCACAGAGGAGCACCGGAGACCUGAUGUACAUGUGUAAUGCACAUCCCAGCUUUCUCAUAGUAAAGCAUUGAAUCAAUUGUAAAGCUUCUCAUAGUAAAGCUUCUG